rnacentral:piRNA from 1 species
UGCAUGGUGAAGCCUAUUUCCUAUGCCAA